rnacentral:rRNA from 1 species
UACGGAGGAUCCAAGCGUUUAUCCGGAUUUAUUGGGUUUAAAGGGUGCGUAGGCGGCCUGUUAAGUCAGGGGUGAAAGACGGUAGCUUAACUAUCGCAGUGCCCUUGAUACUGAUGGGCUUGAAUGUACUAGAGGUAGGCGGAAUGUGACAAGUAGCGGUGAAAAUGCAUAGAUAUGUCACAGAACACCAAUUGCGAAAGGCAGCUUACUAUG